rnacentral:lncRNA from 1 species
AAACACACCAAAAGCUCCAAUUAAAAGGUACAAUUAAGUGUAUAAAUAUACACUUAACACACCCCCAAACUUGAACUUUUGCUUGUCCUCAAGUAAAAUCAAUUAAUGAGCACAAAAACGACUAUACAUCUCAUUACAUAGAUCGAUUGGUCAACUUCGCGUUUUCAGAACUUGCAAUUAUGAUGAUAAUUCCUAGGUAUUCGCAAGCUUAACAUUCAACGGCACUUAGUCACUCACUAUUACCAAAAAUCACAAAUCAUACAAUUGCUUCAAGUAUCCAAUAUUU